AAGCGAGAGACCGGAAGGGAAUGAUAUGACUGAUGUACCGGGAAGUUCAAACGAGGACUGAGCGGCAGGAUUUGAUUUAUGUUGAGAGUUUUUGUAAAGAUUAUUUAUAUACGCACACAAUUAAUAAACGUACAAUUUACUUAGCUAAUGUACAACAUUUACACCCAGUCUAUUUCAUUUCUAUACCGCUGUUUUCAGCGUUUUUAAAACAAUGACUAACCCUCAAGAAAACCGCGAGACCUCAAACAGACAUCACGCCGAUCAGCAUGGGUGAAUUAUUCUACACCAAGACACAACAGAACGAUGGAGUUGGAAGAGUUACCAUGAAUGGCACCACAAGGUUGACCGCUUCUCCAACCCUACGAGUGUACGUCUGCUUCAGGUGUCGUGGCACACGGAUCUUUGGUGGUUCUGCCGAGAUGGAUCAGAAGGAAGUAGACGAGAUGAACAAAAGAAGACGUCACUGCAUACUUGGGCGAGGGUCUGAUUUCUU